rnacentral:misc_RNA from 1 species
GGGCAUGUGCACRCUCGUCCUCGCUUUACUUCUUCAUUUACUACACACCUGUGAACCUGUUUGUAGGGUGCCUUCACUGGCACUCUAUGUCUUUUCAUAUACUCCACUGCAUGUCUAUAGAAUGUGUCCCCUUUGCUCUCGUCAGAGACAAAGAAUCAAAGUUAUUAUAACUUCAGCAACGNNNNNNNNNNNNNNNGCAUCGAUGAAGAACGCAGCGAAUUGCGAUAUGUAAUGUGAAUUGCAGAUUUUCAGUGAAUCAUCGAAUCUUUGAACGCACCUUGCGCUCCUUGGUAUUCCGAGGAGCAUGCCUGUUUGAGUGUCAACAAAUUCUCAACUCCCCUUUGAUUUUUUCAAAGUGGUGAGCUUGGAUGUUGGAGGCCUGCCGGCUGCAAAGUCGGCUCCUCUGAAAUGCAUUGACAAAGGCGUGUGCAUGAUACGGCCUUCGGUGUGAUAAUGAUCACCGUGGCUGGCUUGCUGUAGCACCUGUGUCUUAACAAGUCUUUAUCCAUUGGGUUGGAAAAAGCUUGCUUGACCAUUUG